rnacentral:rRNA from 1 species
GAUGAACGCUGGCGGCGUGCUUAACACAUGCAAGUCGAACGGGAAACUUUUCAUUGAAGCUUCGGCAGAUUUGGUCUGUUUCUAGUGGCGGACGGGUGAGUAACGCGUGGGUAACCUGCCUUAUACAGGGGGAUAACAACCAGAAAUGGUUGCUAAUACCGCAUAAGCGCACAGGACCGCAUGGUCCGGUGUGAAAAACUCCGGUGGUAUGAGAUGGACCCGCGUCUGAUUAGCUGGUUGGUGGGGUAACGGCCUACCAGGGCGACGAUCAGUAGCCGGCCUGAGAGGGCGACCGGCCACAUUGGGACUGAGACACGGGCCCAAACUCCUACGGGAGGCAGCAGUGGGGAAUAUUGCACAAUGGGGGAAACCCUGAUGCAGCGACGCCGCGUGAAGGAAGAAGUAUUUCGGUAUGUAAACUUCUAUCAGCAGGGAA